rnacentral:rRNA from 1 species
GAGUUUGAUCCUGGCUCAGGAUGAACGCUAGCGGCAGGCCUAAUACAUGCAAGUCGAACGGUCUUUAGCAAUAGAGAUAGUGGCGCACGGGUGCGUAACGCGUAACCAACCUACCCGAAUCUGGGGGAUAGCCCGCCGAAAGGCGGAUUAAUACCGCAUAAAACCACAGUGUGGCAUCACACAAUGGUUAAAGAUUUAUUGGAUUCGGAUGGGGUUGCGUGCCAUUAGCUAGUUGGGGGGGUAACGGCCCACCAAGGCGACGAUGGCUAGGGGAGCUGAGAGGCUGGUCCCCCACACGGGCACUGAGAUACGGGCCCGACUCCUACGGGAGGCAGCAGUAGGGAAUAUUGGGCAAUGGUCGAGAGACUGACCCAGCCAUGCCGCGUGCAGGAUGAAGGCUUUCUGAGUCGUAAACUGCUUUUGCCAGGGAAGAAUAAGGGGGAUGCGUCCUCCGACGACGGUACCUGGUGAAUAANCACCGGCUAACUCCGUGCCAGCAGCCGCGGUAAUACGGAGGGUGCAAGCGUUGUCCGGAUUUAUUGGGUUUAAAGGGUGCGUAAGCNGCCGAUUAANUCUGGGGUGAAAGCCCUUGCUCAACAACGGAACUGCC